rnacentral:sRNA from 1 species
UAAAGAAGGGAGUUUGAGUAUAUUAUUAAGCUCUACGCAGCAACUGCAUGCUAAAUAUUCGAACGCAAUGAAAUGAAAAAUGAAAAGUGAAGAACUAAAAGUGAAAAAUGAUGUCCUUCGGGUGUUUAACUGUUGCGCUAACGGCUAAAAACGGAUGGCUGACCCCUAAUUUAAUUCAGGCUUUCAGCCCUCUGAAUAAGGUAUGGGUAUGAAUUACCCCACCCUUGCGGGAUGGGGCUGAACUAUAUCGGGCUUUCAGCCCUUGUGCUCCGUAGAGGUAUUUAGAGCUUGAGUUGUUUGUCGCUCUCCGAGCGAUGAUAAGUGUCAAUAGUUAAUGGUCAAUGGUCAUGGAUGAUACACUCUGAAUCAUGUACCCGGCAAAUAACCAUUAAUUCUUGACAACUAACCAUUAAAAUGCAAAAAGUGACUUGCUUAAUAGUACUUAUGUAUCAAUCAAACUCUUUCCCGAAUAAAAGACCCUCACUUUUUCUGUCUUUAUUUUCUUUUCUCAAACGAUGGAUUGCUGUUUUUAUCUGUUUAGAGAGACUUUGAAAGAGAUAAAAAAAUUUUGAGGUUUAAUUGAUUGCUCUUUUGAUAAGAUUAUUUUCUUUUUUGCUUUGCUAAACUUCUCUUUUGCUUUGCUCGUUUUAUCUUCUUCACAGUUCAUUUUAUCUUCUUUACAAUUGAAAAGUUCUUUUGCCAUACUAAACUUCUCUUUUGCUUUGCUCGUUUUGUCUUCUUCACAAUUCAUUUUAUUUUCUUUACAAUUGAGAGGUUCUUUUGCCAUGAUGAACUUCUCUUUUGCUUUGCUCGUUUUAUCUUCUUCACAAUUCAUUUUAUUUUCUUUAUAAUUGAGAGGUUCUUUUGCCAUGAUGAACUUCUCUUUUGCUUUACUCAUUUUAUCUUUUUAACCAUUUGACAAUUCCAAGAAGAGAAAAUACUUCUACAACUUAUCAAAUAGUAUAUAAACUUUUUCUUAUCGUCAUACAGCUUAAUAUUAUGGAUAAAACUCUAAUAAAAAGAAGAUUAUAUUGAGAAGGAAACAGAAUUUUUUCUUUCUUAUAAGCAUAUAUUCAAGCUUCAAAAAGUUAAUAAUAAUUAAAUCCAAUAAUUAAGGGUACUUUUUUGAUGAAAAUGUAUUAUAUUUGAAGCAGAAAAGAUAAUUCAUUAUUUGUUAAACAUUUAAAUUUAAGUAACG